rnacentral:rRNA from 1 species
GUGGCGAGUGGCGCACGGGUGCGUAACACGUAUGCAAUUUGCCCAUAACUGGGGGAUAGCCCUCCGAAAGGAGGAUUAAUACCCCAUAACCCAACGAGGUGGCAUCACUUUUUUGGUAAAUCUCCGGAGGUUAUGGAUGAGCAUGCGUCUGAUUAGCUAGUUGGUGAGGUAACGGCUCACCAAGGCAACGAUCAGUAGGGGGUCUGAGAGGAUGAUCCCCCACACGGGUACUGAGACACGGACCCGACUCC